GGAGAUGGAAACCUUCGGGCGGAAGGCUUCAUUUCGAGUGGCGGACGGGUGAGUAACGCGUGGGUAACCUGCCUCAUACAGGGGGAUAACAGUUGGAAACGACUGUUAAUACCGCAUAAGACCACAGCACCGCAUGGUGCGGGGGUAAAAACUCCGGUGGUAUGAGAUGGACCCGCGUUCGAUUAGCCAGUUGGCGGGGUAACGGCCCACCAAAGCGACGAUCGAUAGCCGAUCUGAGAGGAUGACCGGCCACAUUGGGACUGAGACACGGCCCAAACUCCUACGGGAGGCAGCAGUGGGGAAUAUUGCACAAUGGGGGAAACCCUGAUGCAGCGACGCCGCGUGAGUGAAGAAGUAUUUCGGUAUGUAAAGCUCUAUCAGCAGGGAAGAUAAUGACAGUACCUGACUAAGAAGCCCCGGCUAACUACGUGCCAGCAGCCGCGGUAAUACGUAGGGGGCAAGCGUUAUCCGGAUUUACUGGGUGUAAAGGGAGCGCAGACGGUUGCGCAAGUCUGAAGUGAAAUCCCGAGGCUUAACCACGGGACUGCUUUGGAAACUGUGCGACUUGAGUAUCGGAGGGGCAGGCGGAAUUCCUAGUGUAGCGGUGAAAUGCGUAGAUAUUAGGAAGAACACCGGUGGCGAAGGCGGCCUGCUGGACGAAAACUGACGUUGAGGCUCGAAGGCGUGGGGAGCAAACAGGAUUAGAUACCCUGGUAGUCCACGCGGUAAACGAUGAAUACUAGGUGUUGGUGCCCCAAGGGCAUCGGUGCCGUCGCAAACGCAAUAAGUAUUCCACCUGGGGAGUACGUUCGCAAGAAUGAAACUCAAAGGAAUUGACG
rnacentral:rRNA from 1 species